CCCGUGACCACCCCUCUCCUUCCAUCGCCCCCUUAUGUUUUCUUCUCCUGCCUACCGUUGAAUGAGCAGGGUUAGACUCGAAAAGUCACAACUAAUCUCUGCGAAGAUGUGUGUGACGUGUGUGUCUUGCUGAGGGGCUGCGGACGGGAGCGGAUCGGUGUCAGGCAUCGCGGGGAUUUAAUCAAUGCAGGAAGACCACAGGAAAUGACAAUCACGACAAGAAACGACCGGGGGCAGCAGCAAGCCAGCAAGACCGCAUCUUCUUCCCAGUUCUAGGAGCCCUGAGAAAGCGAGGAUCUUCCCCCCCUAAAACAUACAUACAUGCAAGAUAUUUGCAAUCAAGCUGCCACCAUUUGGUAAAAAUCUCUAUACCAUGCAUAAUCUAAAAGGAUCAGGAGCUGGAUCCUCGAAUCAUCUUGUCACUUUCUACUGAAAUGGGAUUUUUUUUUUCCUCCUUACACUGCGCUGGAAAUUGCCGAUGGCUUUACAUCUUUAUAGAGUCUAAAGAGUCUUUCGUGAGACUGAAGGAUUUACAAUGCAAAUAGAGGCUUGUGAAGGGAUGGAUGCUUUUCAGUCUUAUCACAGCUUGAUGCACCUUAAUAGCUGGGUUUAUUUUCUGAUAUUAACAGAUGAAUUGUUGGCUAUCGCUGCCGGAAAUUACUGGCUGAAAGAAAAAGUUCGGAAUAAACUUUGAAGGCAACAGAUCUCUUUUGGAUGUUAUUAGCUGCACGCGCACACACAUAUCAGGUCACAAUUGCAUAAAAGGAUGACUAUU